rnacentral:rRNA from 1 species
AGCGAACGCUGGCGGCAGGCCUAACACAUGCAAGUCGCACGAAGUGGCAGACGGGUGAGUAACACGUGGGAACGUGCCUUUCGGUUCGGAAUGACUCAGGGAAACUUGUGCUAAUACCGCAUGCCUUUCGAGCGGCCCUGGUCUGAGUAGCUAGUUGGUGAGGUAAAGGCUCACCAAGGCUAAGAUCAGUAGCUGGUCUGCGAGGAUGAUCCGCCACAUUGGGACUGAGACACGGCCCAAACGCCUACGGGAGGCAGCAGUGGGGAAUCGUGCGCAAUGGGCGAAAGCCGGACGCAGCCAUGCCGCGUGAAUGAGGAAGGUCUUAGGAUUGUAAAAUUCUUUCACCGGGGACGCGGUACCCGGAGAAGAAGCCCCGGCUAACUUCGUGCCAGCAGCCGCGGUAAUAC